GUGGAGGGGUUGAAGGGAGGACAGGGGAAUGGGGAAAAAAAUAAGAACCAAGAUACAUCAAGUAAAGGUACAAGUUCCCAGUGAUGAGUGUAACUGUAUAAUAUACUUAAAAAUGUACCAAUAAACUUAAUGAAAAAAAAGGAAAUAAAUAAAAUGUGUUACCUAUAGAGAAGGUGAGGAAAUGAGUGGAAAGGGUGAGUGCUGGGGGGUAGAGAAUGACACUUUUCUGAAUACACUUCUUGUUGUUUUUAUUUUGAGGAUCAUAUUAAUAUUUCACAUAUUUUAAAAAUCUGAUUGUAUUAUAAAUGAACAGCAUUAUCAUACUGAGAUAGGGAAAAAAUUUAAAAUUAACACAAGUAACUUUUGCCCUCAAUUCUUGACUAUAUUCUAUCAGGGUAAAAGACAAAAAGAACUAUAAAUUAGUAUUAAACUCUAGUGAGUUGUCUUAUUUCCUACAGAUAAAUGUGUUAGCAAUUUGGGAGCCACAUUUGUGUAAUAUAGAAAUUAAUGUGAGUACAUGAAUAAAUAUAUUCAGGAUAAAGGAAGCCAGGUUUCCUACUGUUGAAGAAAACAAAUAUAUGAAACAAGGAAAGUCCAAGUAUCUCAAUAGUGUGGAUUAGAGCCUUAGAUAUUUGUAUUCACUAAUGGGUUUAUUAAAUAUAUAUUAGCAUUUAAUAAGUAUAUAUGUGUUAACAUACAGUAUAUGUACAUCUGAAAUAUGUGCAUGUCUUCCUGUAAACACCCGUGUUGGCUGAAAGGAUUGGAAACAAUGAUACUCCAGUAGAAAUUAGCAUGUCUAAUGCUUGUUUAAAUAUCACUUCUCCAUAAAAAGAACCAGUAUUUUUCAAAGAAAUGACCAAUGUCAUGACAAGAAUCAGAGAAGGCACAACAUGAGCCUGGACUAUCUUAUUAUGCCAGAAAAAAGAAAUUAUUUUAAAAAUGAUGGGUAAAUAUCAAAAGACUCAGAAUCCUACUAGCUAAGUCUUAGAAAUGCAAUUACCAAAAAUAAAUAAUAUACAUUUUAACCUAUUUAAUAAGGUAAGAAUCUCUGAGUCCACACUGAUGUAAAUUACUUAGUAAAUAAAUGUGUAAAUGAGGAGAAAGGCAAGCUUUUCUUUGCAGUAGGAUGCUAGUUAAUAAAUGAUGAUUAGUAAUUGUGAACAAAAUAAUGGAGUUAGAAAAUCACCAUUUUGCAACUAUUACAAUAAUAAUCAGUUUAGGUAAGACCCAUGAAUGUAUGAUAAGCUUGUAGUUAACAUUUGAUAAGGAGCAAGUUAUUAAUAGCUUCAUAGUAUCUCCCCAUAGAUUACUUAUUGGUACUUAUUGGUGGAUAUCACUUUAAAGAAAUUAUUAAAUUAUCAUUAAUGACAAUGGGGCCAAGCGAUAUCAUGUGCUUCUUAAUUUUAUACAUGAAGAAGAGCUUAGCAUCGUUGCUUCUGUGAUAUUCAUGCCUCAAAUCUGUAACACAAAUCUAAUUGAAGGGAAAGAAAAGACAAAACUAAUGGAGGGAUAGCCGCCUAAGAAAAUGGCUUAUGCUCUUCAAAAAUGUCAAGGUUAUGGGAGUCAAUGGAAGAAUUUGGGAACUGUUCUUCUAGUGGGGUAAGACUCAGGCUGAGUCCAAAGGCCCAAGAAGAAGGAGUACAUGCCAGAGCCCACAAUAAUGAUUAUGCCCAAAAUACGCUGUAAGUAAUGCAGACUGCAAAGAGUUAAAUCCCUCCAUUGGGUUACUUUAAGGAGCGAGUCUGACUGAAGCUACGUGACUCACAGAAGUAUCUCACAAGCAGUGAGGUAGCACGUAGGUUAAUAUGACCUCCCUGCUAAGGGCCACGGCUGAGACCAGAGUAAUGGCUUGUGAAGCUGUGGGCUAAUGCAAGAUAAUGUGCAUCCUAAGGUCAGAGUAAAUCGUACCCAAAUUCCAUUCCCACAAUUACUGCCUUCGUAGCUUGAAGGACAAUGCUCUAAUUACAACCAUGUAUUUUGUCUAUCUUGCUUCUAAUUUGAAAAUGCUUUGACUCUUCUCUUUAAAGCCUUGCCUGCAUUAGUUUCCAUGGUAAUUACUUAUAUUGCACCUUUUACCCUGAUUGAUGAAUAAUAAAAUUCGCUGGAAGAGAUGGGCCAGUGCCUUUUGCCAAAGGAGUAUUGGCUGUCCCAGUUCACUCUUUCUCUUUAACAUUGUCUUAAGUUUUUCUUCAACCUUCCGUUGCUUACUGGGCAGGUGGGGACUAGAGGCUUACUGCAGGAGUCUCUGGCAAGUGCAGAUGUCUAAGGAUGUGAAAAAACAUCCUUUUAAAGAAGAGAGCAAAUUCAUCCUUUCUCCACCAUUUUGUUCUGGUCAGGCCCUCAAGGGAUUAAAUGAUGCCCACCUCAAUGGAGAAGGCAAUGUUCUUUUACUCAGUCUACUGACUCAAAUGCUAAUUUCUUCCAGAAACAUCCUUAGACACACCCACCUGUAUGAGCAUCUCUUACUGUAGUUGUUGACAUAUAAAAUUAAGCAUCAUGGAGACAGAACAUGUAAUGAUUUGGAAAAAAUUAAGUCAUCCUGCAAGGAAUUACAUAGACUCUAGCUUAGGCUAAAAUAUGAGAAUGGUAUGCCAAAUGCAUAUAGAGAUCAGGAAGUCCUAGAAAGAACUAGAAACCCUUAACUCUUUAAAUAAAGAUUGUUACUGAGUGGAAUACAACUGAAUUGAGCAAUAGAAGACUUGAGUGCAUAGUGAAUAUUAGACUUGAGCGAUAUUUACUGAACUUGGCUGAACCACAUAUGUCCUAAUUGUUUAUAGAGCUCCCACUAUCUAUAAAUGGCCACAGGAUUAAGCAUUAGGGAGCCAAAUUGUUAGGGGGGAUAUGAGAAGUAAACUGGUUAAACAUGGAACCAGAGGGCUUUGGCCCAAACAUUUAUGAAUGAGGAAGCUGAUGCCCACAGUAAGGCUGGACUGGUGCAGUGUUACACAGCCAGUUUGUGGCACAGCAAAGAGAAAUACCUGCUUGAAAAGGUUUGCCUUUUAGGUGCACCAUUCCUUUUUACCACCAUUAUUAUGCUCAUUUUACAACAAAGAGAUUGGGGAUCAAACAGAGUAACUGGCUUAAGGUCACAGCUACUAAAUGGCAGAACAAAGACUCCUACAUUAUGACCCAGUCUGCAUAUAAGCAGAUUUAGUGGUGGAAAGAUUUUGAUGGUGCACUGAAAUCUUAAUUUCUUUGCUUUCUAUUUAGAACUAAUUCCAUUCUCCCAAGCUACAAACACUAAGUCUCUCAUUGCUUGUAGAACCAAUUAAUGAGUUAAAUUGCAUCAAGUUUUGUGUUUUUUUGUACUGGGGAUUGAACUCAGGACCUUGUGCAUGUGAGGCAGGCACCAGACCCACUGAGCUAAAUCCCCGGCCCUACAUCAAGUUAAUAGUCAGCAGUUCCUUGUUGCAAUUAGAGUUCAGCCUGCUGUUUUCAUCACAUCUGUGGGACUGUACCAGAUUUCCUCUCUAGCUCAUUGAUCUGCCUGCUUUUGCCUCCUAAAGGUGCUAUGCUGAAUAUCAAUGCUGCAGCAACCUGGUAGUUUUUGUGUUUUCUGAAUUAUUUACCCCAAAGCCAUAGGGUAUCAAAUGCCUUUGGGUCUAUAACUCUUUUCUCUUUGGUUCCAGUCUCUGUUCAUCUGGUUGUCUCUUUGUUCAUUUAGCGGAUAUUUGUUGUGAAUUGCAAGUCUACUGGAUUUCAAACUCUGGACUGGUAAUGGAUAUACAGAUGUCUUUUCCUCUAAUGAGAUUAUAGUCUAAUUUGGAGGCUAGACAUGCAAGCAUUUAAAAUGCAAUAAAGACAAUGUUCAUGAAGAAAUGUGCCAAGCCCCUAAUAAGGAUCACAGGGAGAAAUGCAGGAGCUGCCUCACACAGGGCAUUGUUUAUCCUGCUGAUAGAUAGCAACUUUUAUUCUGUAGAGAAACUAAAGAAUUUUAAGCAGCCUGCUUAAAAAUUAGGAUUGGCUUUAUGCUUAAAGAAAUUCACUCUGUGGGGAGUGGAAUAAAGGAGGUGAUAGUGAAGGUAUGGGACCAGUGUAGAGACUGUUAAAUUCCAGUGAAAAGAGACAAAAAGUCUGAAGUGGGCCGAGAAAUAAGAAUGGUAGAGGUGAGAGAACAAUGUGUGAGACAUUUAAGAGAUGGCGAGAUGAGAUUUAGUUACCAAUUAAAUAUGCAGACUUAGGAAGAAAGUUUAGGAUAACAUCAGAUUCUUUUUUCUUGCAAUUAUGAGUCUAUUGGUUCAAGUGAUAGAAGAAAAUUUGGAGGUGGAAAAGAGGCAUGAUAAGUUUGGUAUUUGGCUUAAGUUUGACCUCAGUAAGUGGUGAUUCUCAAGAAAUGUUUGUGUACAGGAGGAGCGAGGUCUGGGUAGAGAUUUAGAUAUUCUUACUUCCCUCUUUCCCUUCCUCUCUUGCUCCUUCUCUACCUCCCUCCUUCUCUUCCCCUUCUUUUUCCCUUCCUUUCUUUCCCUCCAGCCCUUUCUUUCUUUUUUGGCCUUUUUUUUCUUAAAAGAAAGAAACUUAAAAAUACUUUUUUUCAGAGAAAAGAAGUGGAGAAUGAAGGCUGAAGACAGAGGAAAAGGAAGAAAAAUAUUCUAGUGUGAAAUUCUGGAGCAAGAGGGCCUGUGAUAAGGAGGAGGAGGACCAGGACAUCCCUGCAGAGGAGCUGGCUCUGGGAGGUGGAAAGGUCUAGGGCAAAGAUUGCCAGAUGGCCUCUACCUCGAGCCCUUGGGGACACUUCGUCUUCAGCUGUGCUGUUAAAGUCAUGGGACAUGAAUACCUGCAGCCUGUGGGACUCGCCAUCCUCUUUAUUGUUCUUAUGUCCCUACUGCUUGUACCAGGAUUGCAGACUCUCUCCUCAUGAUUUUCAGUGAAUAGACUCCGGAAAUGUGGGUCCUGAUGCUCUCAGCUGCAUGACCCCAGGCAAGAGACUUGGCCUCUUUGACCCCAGUUUCAUCAGUAAUACAAGAGAGGUGGGACAGAUCAUCUGUAAGUAGCCUUCUGACCACAGUAUUUUAUAAUUUUGUGUUCUAUGACCCCUGUCUUCCUUGGCGGACUCUUCAAUCAAUGUUUUUUAUUACUAUUGCCUUUCUUCAUAUUAAUAAUAGCUUUUCAUUAUAAUACCUUAGACCAAUAUGGUUGGUGCACACAAUUAUAGUGAGGGUAAUAAGCAGGGAUAUUAUAAUCAGUCAUUGUUGAAACAGAAAUUCUACAGGGGCUGGAGUGACAGUCACUAAAUGUCUCCACUCUUUGCCAUUUGACAGGCCCAGGUAGGUGACUUUCUUGGAUUGGUAGGAGUCUGAGAUGGCAAAGUGGAUAAGCACUUAGCUGUCCUGAUUCAGUGUUUUCGUUGAGGAUCAUGCCCCCACCCCAGGCUUCCCAAACCAUCCUCCAAAUGCUCUUUGUAGUUAUCUAUCCCCCAUCCCAGUGGUAGUCAGCAAGACUGGCCUCCCCGGUGUUUCCUGAACACACCAGCAUGUUGCCUCCCACCUCUACCCUGGGAUUUCCUUUCUACUUUUCCUUGCCAUGUUCAGGGAAUGUGUCCAAGUCAGCCUUCCUCUGUGGACACUUCCCAGGCCCAUCUGAUGCUCAGCUCCCUCUAAAUCCUCUUAUUUCUUAUUGUCUGUGCUUUGGAAAUGACCGUAUUUGACCUUGUAGCAUGCGUCAUCUUUGCACAGUAAGGGUCACCUGGUCCCUUUUGAGCUUUGAAGGGCACAAGGUCAUUUUGAGCCUAAGUACUGCUGUUGCCCUCUUGCUGACAGCCUCUCUCCUGGAUUCCCAAGGGCCCAGAAACCUGCCUUUGGUCUCCCCUCCUUUCCUGCUGAAGGGGCUGGCUUCUUCAAAUCAAACCCCACAACAAUUCACUGAUUUGGGUGUGUGAAACAGAGACUACAGCUCCAAAUACUGCUCUUAUUUCCCCAUAAAAAUUCCAGCCCUCCAGUCAGAUUGAGGCCCAAAUAGGGUCUCAGCUCACUUAAGAACAAACUAGGAAUCUCCGUAAUUCUAAAACAACGUGAUUCUCAAAAGCCCGUGUAAAAGAAGCCAUGUAAGAUAGGGUUAAAAUUAAAAUAAUUUCCACAGUUGUGCAUUGACUCUCUAAGGAGAUAGGUUAGGGCGCUGAGAACUAAAUUUCCAAUUCAACUUCUAUUUUUCAGUUGCACAAGACAUUUCAAAGUUUUCUCCUUAUAAUUAUGUUUCUAUAGUGAUCUCUCACACAAAAGAUUGCAGCAUUUAGUUUGUCACUCAGAAAUAUUGUACACAUAUUUUUAACUAUGCAAGACAUUCUAAUGAGGAAGGCAGGUUGUGUGAAUGUAUUUAUUUCAGUUUAUUGAAAAUGUGAUAAUGUUUUAAAAGCAGCACAUUGGUGGGUAGACUUCUGAGCAGAUGUGAGGGUACUCUGGUGGCCAGUUACACAUUCCACUCUAGCAUCCUUGCGACUCUGUGCCCUUGGUGAGUCCCUUAAUCGCUUUAGGACGUCAUUCACUCAUCAGUAAAUGAGGUCCAAGACACCCACCCUUCUGAUUUCCCAAAGCAACUAUAAAAAUAAAAUGAAAUGGGCUGUAACACAUAAAGCACCAGGCAGGAUAUAAAUCACAGUUACAGUUUUAAAUUGCUAUGUCUAGAAUGCUAUGACUUUAUCUCGCAGGACCACUCUGCAGAAGAAAUCCAAGACCCAGGUCCUGUUACCCUGCUCCUCUUCAGCCCUUGGACCUGCCCAUCUGCACUGCUUCCUGCUGCUCACCCCCUGCCACCGCUGACACAGGUUCAUCACCUGCCUGCCACCACAGGGUAACAGAUCCCAGUCAAGCCUGGGCAGCAGAGACCUCAUUCUGAGGCAGGGGUUCCACUUCUUACUCCCUGG
ensembl:lncRNA